AGAGUUUGAUCAUGGCUCAGAUUGAAUGCUGGCGGCAGGCUUAACACAUGCAAGUCGAGCGGAGAUGAGGUGCUUGCACCUUAUCUUAGCGGCGGACGGGUGAGUAAUGCUUAGGAAUCUGCCUAUUAGUGGGGGACAACAUUCCGAAAGGAAUGCUAAUACCGCAUACGUCCUACGGGAGAAAGCAGGGGAUCUUCGGACCUUGCGCUAAUAGAUGAGCCUAAGUCGGAUUAGCUAGUUGGUGGGGUAAAGGCCUACCAAGGCGACGAUCUGUAGCGGGUCUGAGAGGAUGAUCCGCCACACUGGGACUGAGACACGGCCCAGACUCCUACGGGAGGCAGCAGUGGGGAAUAUUGGACAAUGGGGGGAACCCUGAUCCAGCCAUGCCGCGUGUGUGAAGAAGGCCUUAUGGUUGUAAAGCACUUUAAGCGAGGAGGAGGCUACUGAGACUAAUACUCUUGGAUAGUGGACGUUACUCGCAGAAUAAGCACCGGCUAACUCUGUGCCAGCAGCCGCGGUAAUACAGAGGGUGCGAGCGUUAAUCGGAUUUACUGGGCGUAAAGCGUGCGUAGGCGGCUUUUUAAGUCGGAUGUGAAAUCCCCGAGCUUAACUUGGGAAUUGCAUUCGAUACUGGGAAGCUAGAGUAUGGGAGAGGAUGGUAGAAUUCCAGGUGUAGCGGUGAAAUGCGUAGAGAUCUGGAGGAAUACCGAUGGCGAAGGCAGCCAUCUGGCCUAAUACUGACGCUGAGGUACGAAAGCAUGGGGAGCAAACAGGAUUAGAUACCCCGGUAGUCCAA
rnacentral:rRNA from 1 species